GGGGGAUUGGUAUAGUUGGGAACACGUGGCCCUUGCACGGCCGAGUCAGCGGUUCAAGUCCGCUAUCCUCCACCA
rnacentral:tRNA from 1 species